ACGCUCGACACCUACGGGAGGAGCAGUGGGGAAUAUUGCACAAUGGGGGAAACCCUGAUGCAGCGACGCCGCGUGGAGGAAGAAGGUCUUCGGAUUGUAAACUCCUGUUGUUGGGGAAAAAGAGGAUGGUACCCAACAAGGAAGUGACGGCUAACUACGUACCCAGCAGCCGCGGUAAUCUGAGCGGGCUGGCAAGGC
rnacentral:rRNA from 1 species